UCUGGGCUAUGGGGAGAAUGGAGAGAUUAUUCAGUACGCAUUCUCAGGUCUCGUCUCUACUUCUCUCGUUGCAGAUUUCCGGUAAUUUUGCAGUUUCAAACUCCGUUUGUUUUGUACGUGUUCUGUGCGAGUUGAUCUUCCGAUGCAGGUAUGUAUUAGUAUUAUUUCACUGUCUCUGAUUCCGGAAAUAUGUUCACUCUGCUUGAUUGAAGAAGCUCCAGGAAAAAGGAGUUUAGAUUCUCUCUUUUCUCUUCUUACGCGAUGCAUCCUUCGCGUUUUUGUUCUUUUUCCAGACGAUUUUUUAUUUGUCUUUACCAUUUUAAACUUCGAAUUAGUGGAUUUUGGUAAAUCAGAGUAAUGUAGAUUUCUCCAGGCUUAAAAUUGAUGGAAGACAAUCGCAUCUAUCUUUUUUUUUUCUUUUCCUUUUUUAUUAUUCUGCCAAUAUUUUGUGUGCAUCAUCCAUAUUAUCGCAUUUAUUUCUAUGUUCUUCUGGUCUCUUCAUCUCGGUUCAAGCCGUUCCUAAAGUUCGCCCCUCCUGGAAACAGCAAUUAAACGACAGGAAGAUCAGAAGUAUUUGACCGUAUAUUUUAGGUUGAUGCUCUUGAUAUUCGAUCUUCAAAUCUUUACUAGUUUUUCGAUGAUCCGAAUCUAUAAAAGCAGGCAAAACGUCGAUAUUUCUAUAAUCGUCUUUUGUGCAACUGAAUUGCUGAUAAAAAUUUAUCCGUGUUGGUAGCAUGAAUUUUCAAGAGUAUGCCAAAUAUGCGGAUAUCGAAGAGAGUUGUUUUUGAGAGGCAAAUUUUCUCGAAUUAAUAACCUCUAUUGCUCAUUAAAAUUUUCUGUCGAAAUCAUAUUACUGCUCUUUGGUGAUGUUAUGCGAAAUUCUCUCAACCAAUUCAUUAUUCACAGUCUUGCUGAUAGAUUCUUAUUUUAACUGGUAAGUGACUCUUGCAUAUGAGUCUUUGACAGAUCACAUUCUCUACAUCCAAUUGACCUCAAUUUUAGCGGUGUUUUUGAUUUCCUAACAAAUAUUAUUAUUAUGCAGCAUCAGCUAAAAGGAAAACGAACUCAAAGUUCUACUCCGGAAUGGUUGUCGAUGAGGAAUAGACCGAUAGCUAUCCAGUGACUGCUAUUUAUGGAGGAUGGUACUAGCUUCAUAUGAUAUGAGUACCAAUAAGGAAGGUAAAACAGAAGCUGAAAAUUAAGAAGCUGAAAUCAACAGAGUUAUUGGAGAAAUUAUCGCAAUAGUCGCCAUACAAGGUAAGAGAAUAAAGUCCAGCUCUACAAUCAUUUCUAAAACAUAAACAUAUAUAAUCAUUGAAAUAUAUUAAACGAUGAAAUGUUAAUUCUGGUCCAACAUCAAUUAGGAGAGAGAUAAUAUCUCCGGUGAGUCAAGUCUCUUCCCAACAAAAAAAUAAAAUAAAAAACUGAAGUAGUUUCGGA